rnacentral:rRNA from 1 species
GGUACACGCUGUGACUAGCAUAUCAAUAAGCGGAGGAAAAGAAACUAACAAGGAUUCCCCUAGUAACGGCGAGUGAAGCGGGAAGAGCUCAAAUUUGAAAUCUUAAAGGGUUUCCCUUUACGAAUUGUAGUUUAAAGAAGUGUUUUCUGUUGAGGUUUUGGUAAAAGUUCUUUGGAAUAGGACAUCAUAGAGGGUGAGAAUCCCGUAUUUGACCUUUACUUUCAACUUUGUGAUACACUUUCAAAGAGUCGGAUUGUUUGGGAAUGCAGUCCAAAAUGGGUGGUAAAUUUCAUCUAAAGCUAAAUAUUGGCGAGAGACCGAUAGCGAACAAGUACCGUGAGGGAAAGAUGAAAAGAACUUUGAAAAGAGAGUUAAACAGUACGUGAAAUUGUCAAAAGGGAAGCGUUUGACACCAGUGUUGUUUUUCUGAAAAUCAAUUAAAGAACUGUUUAUGCUAAGUUGUUUAGACUUUAAUCAGCUAUCUGUUUAGUUUUGAGCUUUUCUUUAAUGCACUUUUCAGUUAGCAAGUCAACAUCAAUUUCUUUUGCCUGUAAAAAAGCUUGAGGAAGGUGGCUUGAGAUUCGUCUUAAGUGUUUAUAGCCUCUUGCCUAUGCAGUCGGAGAGAUUGAGGUCUGCCGCGUAGAUCCUUCGGGGCUAAAUGCAUUUGUGCUAAGUUAUAGCAUUUCAUAGACAACUUGUUGACUAUGAUUUGUCUUGUAGCUUACUCGCCUAUGUUAUAUUUACCUACGCUUAGGAUGUUGACGAGACUGUCGAUCUC